rnacentral:rRNA from 1 species
AUUGAACGCUGGCGGCAGGCCUAACACAUGCAAGUCGAACGAGUGGCGGACGGGUGAGUAAUGUCUGGGAAACUGCCUGAUGGAGGGGGAUUACUACUGGAAACGGUAGCUAAUACCGCAUACCAUCAGAUGUGCCCAUAUGGGACUAGCUAGUUGGUGGGGUAACGGCUCACCAAGGCGACGAUCCCUACCUGGUCUGAGAGGAUGACCAGCCACACUGGAACUGAGACACGGUCCAGACUCCUACGGGAGGCAGCAGUGGGGAAUAUUGCACAAUGGGCGCAAGCCUGAUGCAGCAAUGCCGCGUGUGUGAAGAAGGCCUUCGGAUUGUAAAGUACUUUCAGCGGGGAGGCGUUACCCGCAGAAGAAGCACCGGCUAACUCCGUGCCAGCAGCCGCGGUAAUAC